rnacentral:rRNA from 1 species
GUGCCAGCAGCCGCGGUAAUACGGGGGGGGCAAGCGUUGUUCGGAAUUACUGGGCGUAAAGGGUUCGUAGGUGGCCUGCUAAGUCACACGUGAAAUCCCUCAGCUUAACUGGGGAACUGCGUGUGAGACUGGCGGGCUUGAGUACAGGAGAGGAACGCGGAAUUCCAGGUGUAGCGGUGAAAUGCGUAGAUAUCUGGAGGAACACCGGUGGCGAAGGCGGCGUUCUGGACUGUUACUGACACUGAGGAACGAAAGCCAGGGGAGCAAACGGGAUUAGAUACCCCUGUAGUCC